ensembl:snRNA U6 U6 spliceosomal RNA
AUGCUUGCUUCAGCAACACAUAUUCCAAAAUUGGAACAGUACAGAGAUUAGCAUGGCCCCUGUGCAGAGACGACAUGCAAAUUCGUGAUGCAUCCCAUAUUUAU